UUUCUAUAUACCAUCUAUUACUAAGAAAAAAAUCUCAACAUUCAUUUAUUCUUUCUCCUCCUCUUUACAGGACUCAGAGAAAAAUACAAGUCGAAGAUUGAAAGAAAAUUUCAUCCCUCAUCAAGUAAAAGAAAAUUGAGUCACUAAAAGUAGCGAAGUAAGUUGGUUGACAAACAUUCGAAUUCAGGACGACCUCUCCACAUCA
rnacentral:lncRNA from 1 species